CGCUAGCAAGACUAAUAAAGAAAAAAAGAGAGAAGAAUCAAAUAGACACAAUAAAAAAUGAUAAAGGGGAUAUCACCACUGAUCCCACAGAAAUACAAACUACCAUCAGAGAAUACUACAAACACCUCUACACAAAUAAACUAGAAAAUCUACAAGAAAUGGAUAAAUUCCUCGACACAUACACUCUCCCAAGACUAAACCAGGAAGAAGUUGAAACUCUGAAUAGACCAAUAACAGGAUCUGAAAUUGUGGCAAUAAUGAAUAG
rnacentral:lncRNA from 10 species